rnacentral:rRNA from 1 species
UACAGAGGGUGCAAGCGUUGUUCGGAAUUACUGGGCGUAAAGGGCGUGUAGGCGGCCAUGCAAGUCAGAUGUGAAAUCCCGGGGCUUAACUCCGGAAGUGCAUUUGAAACUGCAAGGCUAGAGUGCUGUAGAGGAUGGCGGAAUACCCAGUGGAGAGGUGAAAUUCGUAGAUAUUGGGUAGAACACCGGUGGCGAAGGCGGCUCACUGGCCCGAUACUGACGCUGAGGCACGAAAGCGUGGGGAG